GAUAAAUUGAUUUUUGGAUUAAACUUUAGUGUUAUUUGUUUUGUUAGGAAAGUAGUAACUGCAGAACUGCUGGUUUCAGGGUUCUCUUUUUUUGUUUUAAUCACAUCUGGGAAUUCAUAGAGCAUCUUAUUGUCAGUCUUAGCACAUAUUCAGGGACUGCAUAGACUAUGAAGAAAAUUAGAAUCUCCUUGUCAAAGAUGGGGCUAAGACACAAAGCAAGUUCAAAGAAGAUGACAGCCAGGUAAGAUUUGAAUUUUCUCUUUGAACAUCUUGCUAGAGCCACAUGAUUCUAGACAGUCUUCCUUUAAAAAAAUUCCAUUAAAUUGAAACAAAAUAGGAUUGAAAUGAAGUUUGGUACAAAAUUUAGUAGAGAUCUGCUUCUCAAUCUCCUCUUCAUUACUUUAAUGAUCAGGAGC